UAAAAUUUUACUUUUUAAAAUAUAUUUUCUAAUUUCAAGCGACCAAACACUGAGAAGAUCUUAUUAUUGUUUGGUCUGUAAAAUUUUCGGAACAUUUACAUGUUACGUCAUCUGAGUAUUGUCUAUGUUAGCUGUUAAAGUAUUUGCAGAAAUAUCCUUUCGUUUUGUUUGAUGCGUGAUUGCAACUGCAUAUUUCCUCAUCUGCAACUAUUUCCCUGUUUUCAGCAUCCAUGCUGUGGUUGAUUUGGGCUUCUAUUAAGCUUUUUCAGCAAAUACUACAAAUCAGCUCACCAUGCAGUAUCUUUGAAGGACGAUUGGUGAUGAAUAUGGAAUGUGUUGUCUGGAUGGAAUGAGGUUUGGAUUCUGGAACAAGAGGAGCUGCAGAAGUUGGAGGAUAUUCUUACAAUGAUUGUUGAUGAUGGUGCAAUCACAUGAUAGAAUGGAUGGCGACAGCUUGUAUAUUUCAUGGUAAUGUGUAAAUUAAAUAAAUGAUUUUUGUUGAGAUUGUGUGCAAAAUGUCAACCUUAAUAUAAAUAUAACGUUAUAUUGUUUCA